rnacentral:rRNA from 1 species
UACGUAGGGGGCAAGCGUUGUCCGGAUUUAUUGGGCGUAAAGAGCGUGUAGGCGGCCAGACAGGUCCGUUGUGAAAACUCGAGGCUCAACCUCGAGACGUCGACGGAAACCGUCUGGCUAGAGUCCGGAAGAGGAGUGUGGAAUUCCUGGUGUAGCGGUGAAAUGCGCAGAUAUCAGGAAGAACACCUAUGGCGAAGGCAGCACUCUGGGACGGUACUGACGCUGAGACGCGAAAAGCGUGGGGAGCGAACAGG